rnacentral:lncRNA from 1 species
UUGUGAUAUGCAAUAUUUUCUACAACCGUUCUAUAUUAACGAAGAAAUAAGUAAAAAUGCAUGUCAAAAUGACGAAUUGAGUGAACCUUGCCUCGAAAUUGUUUAAUUUCUCGUUAAAUUGUUCACAUUGUACGGAAAGAAAGGUACGGGAAGAUAGAUACUGACACGGAGAUUGCAAAACUAGUCAUUAUGAGCAUCUCAAUACUUGUAUUUCUGUGUAUGGAACGAAAGAAAUGGGUCAUGUCAAAUUAAAAUACACCGGUUUCGUCAUUGUUGUUUACUACACAAUCACCCGGUUUCGUCUAUAUAUAUCACCCGGUUUUUUUAUAUUUUUUUAAAACCAACAAUUUAUGAAAAGCAACGUUAACACGGAUCUGAACAUUGUCUUUCGAAAGAAUUUAAAUAUAUAUUUAUUAUAAAGUAAACUUGGCGUGUUUACAUUUAUUUACAUAGGUAAUUAUAGUACUACACAUUUUCCUAAUGAAAAUCGUAUCCGUUAUUUCACUGAUCUUCAAACUAAUUUUAAAUGGAAUAUAAAUACUCAAUAGCAAACACUGAUAUCUAAUUAUUUUUUUUAACAUUAACAUUAUGAUAUUUUUUAUAUAGGUUUUGAGAUACAUCGCAAUAUGUGACCCCCUUUUUU